rnacentral:rRNA from 1 species
ACAACUAUCCGCAACGGAUGAUUAGGAUCUCACCUCGAUAAUGUAAGAAGCGAAACGAAGAUGGGUCAUGGAAGGUUAAUCAACUCGACAUCUUCUAAAUUUUGAACGCAUGGUUUCAUGCAUAGGAACACCUGGUAGCAAGCUUGUACGAGUGU